CCUGCCCACUGAUUAAUUGAAUGGCCGCAGUAAUUUGACUGUGCAAAGGUAGCAUAAUCAUUAGUUUUUUAAUUAAAAGCUUGUAUGAAGGGUUGGACGAAGUAAAAUCUGUCUCUAUUUAAUUUAUUUUAGAAUUUAAUUUUUAAGUUAAAAAGCUUAAAUUUGAAUAAAAGACGAGAAGACCCUAUAGAUCUUUAUAUUUUAUUAAAUAAUUUUAUUUAGGAUUAUUUUAUUUUUUAUUUAUUUAAAUAUUUUAUUGGGGUAAUAGAAAGAUUAAUUAAAUUCUUUUUUUUUUGUUAUAUAAAUUAAUAAUUAUUUGAUCCAAUUAUUUUGAUUAUAAGAUUAAGUUACCUUAGGGAUAACAGCGUAAUUUUUUUAGAGAGUUCAUAUCGAUAAGAAAGUUUGCGACCUCGAUGUUGGAUUAAAAAUUAUUU
rnacentral:rRNA from 1 species